GUAGGGCUCAGUAAAGAACAGCCAGGCCAAGCUUCCUUGGGGAUGGUCGCAUGAGGCUGCUUCGGUGUCCAUCGAGGAAACACAAAGCAUGAAAUUUCUGAUUAUUCCUACUCAGACCCCCAAUCACCAUACAUGACCCAUCACCCCAUCUCUGAGCAUGAGGUCACCCUGAAGUGCUGGGCCUUGGGCUUCUACCCUGAUGACAUCACCCUGACCUGGCAGCGAGAUGGGGAGGACCUGGCCCAGGAAACGGAGCUGGUGAACACCAGGCUGGGGAGGAGGGAAUGGAAACUUCCAGAAGUGGGCAGCUGAGGAUGUGUCUUCUGGAGAGGAGCAGAGAUACAUGUGCCAUGUGCAGCAUGAGGGGUUGAUAGCACCCUGAGUCCUGAGAGGGGGAUUAGAAGAUUCAUUUAGGCUUCUGACCUGACUCCUCCCUGGUCUCACAUGAUGCUUCUUCCUACAGGAGGACAAGGAGGAAGCUACACUUAGUGUGCAGUGAGAGACAGCCUUGUGUGGGCCUGAGUGUUACAGGAUUUCUUUUUUGCCCACAUUUUGUGCCUUUAUGAUCCCUUGGUUUAAACCUUCACACCUGCGAGAACGGCCCAUAUCCAAAAGACCAGAAACUCAAGUGCUGGCAAGGAUGUGGAAAAAAGGGGACAGUCCUGCAUUGUUUUGGAUAAAGACUGAGCCAGCCCUAUGGAAAUAGUAUUGAGGUUUCUUAAAAGAGUAAAUGUGGUUCUGCCAUUGGACCCAGCAAUUCUACACUGAGGAUCUCCUCCCAGAGGAUAAAUACUCUCCUGUGAAGGGCCCUGCACUCCCGUCACCACUGCAGCACUAUUUACAGUAGCCAAGCUAUGGGAACCACCUACAUGCCCCAGACAGAGCCUCCCUCUCUGCAGUGUCUCUACUCAGCGGUAUCUGAGCAGCCCCAGGAGUCCCUGCACCUCCUGCCUCUGACCUUGUGAGAAACCAGCCUCUCACCCUGCAUGACAGUGAGGAGGCGAAGGCAAAGUGCUGAGGGGCAGGACCAAUGUGCUAUCCAUAGAAAAGAGAGUUUCCAUGGGAUCUCCCUGGUGGCGCAAUUGUUGAGCACUGGGCUGCGAAGCUGCCCGCAGCCUCUGCAGUGCCAGUUCGAUCCCUGGCCGCCGGCGAGGGUUCCACAUGGUGCACAGACCUCUCCUGCCUCCUGCUGCUCCCCUCAGCAGUGUGCUUAGUCAGUCUGCCUGUUCUGUUCACCACUCUGGCUCUGGAGAAUUCUCUCAUCCUCCCGCGCUUCUGACUGUAUCCAGUGCUUGUAUAAAUAAAUACAUACAUACAUACAUACAUACAUACAUACAUAAAUAAUCUUAAAAAAAAAAAAAGAGAGGCUCCAGGUUAUACCCUGCCAAAGGAAAGGUGGAGCUGGGCAGGGAUGAGAAGCUAAAGAAGAGGAGGAAAAUGUGGAGUAAGAUGAGGAAAGGAGACUGGAGGAGGCGCAUGGAGCAGAGAGACAUGUGAAAAAGUAGCCAGUCUUGUUCCUCAGGCUUGGACUUCUGCCAGGGAUUUGGGGACAGGGAAAGAGACAUGUGAAAGAGACAAAGACUUGAGUGAGAGGCCCAUGGGAAGGCUGACAGUGGCAGCUGUUAUCUUGAUGUGGAUUUUGAUUUUGCUCUUUUCCUUCCAGACUUGCCUGACCCCUCCUGCCCCUGUCCCAUGGGUCUCUACCAGUAGGUGCCUUAGACUGUGGCAGGCGUUCAUUUGGGCCCCAGUGGGCCUGCUUUGGGCCAAGCCUGUUUGGCUGGGCAUUUACCCAUGAGGGGAUGGGUAACUUUAGGUGCUUCACUUGGAACUAUUCUAAUUAUAUUCUUUCUCUUCUCUCUCUCUAUUGCACACUUAUUCUCUAUUUUAUACUAAUUGUAUUAAAGUUCUUUUCUAUCGAAGGUCUUACGCUUUAGAUUACAUUUUGUCUUUGUGCAGCUGAUGGCAGAUCCCAUGUAGAGUGUGCAGUUUUGAGGGUCCAGGGAACCCCUUAUUCUGCCCACUAACAGGACCAGACACCAUUCCCACCCACCAUGUGCCAGAGUUCCUUUUCCUCCACACCCUUCAAUGGGUCAUUCUCACAGUGUGAGGUGGUAACUCCUUGUGAUUUUAAUUGGCUUUUUCCUGACAGCACAUGAUGACAAACAUUUAUCCACGCACAUAUUGGCCACAUGUGUGUCUUCUUUAGAAAAGUACUUAUUUAGCUCCUCUGCCCCUGUUUUGAGUUGUUUUCUUGUUUUGGAGUUCUUUGCAGAACUCCUUGUUGGAUUGAUGAUGUGCAAAUAGUUUCUCCAAUUUGAUAUUCUUUUCAUUUUAAUGAUAGUUUCCUUCACUAUGUAGAAGCUUUUUAGUCUGAUGUGAUUCCAUUGGUUUCUUUUUGCUAUUGUCUCCUUGGAGCACAGAAGACAUUACUGGCAGUGAAAAUACUCUUCAUGAUAUUCUCAUGAUGGACACAGGUCAUUAUACAUUUGUCCAACACCCCGAGAAUGGACAGCACAGGAGUGAACCCCGUCUAGAGUCUGGGGCAGUCUCUUGGAGGACCGGGAUCCCGGGCCGAAUGAGCCGAAGAGGUGUCCAUAUUGUUUCGGAGGAUCCAUCUAGAAUGACAGAAGCAUAGCCUUUUCCCUUUAAAAUCAUGACCCCCACUUCCCACACAUUUGUUCCUGGGGUUUUUACCCAUACUGGUUCUUGCAUGCUACAUGCUGGUUGAGUAGCAAAAUGUUUAUUGCUGCAUGUUAUGGGGUCCCCCUGUGGUAAAUUCAGAAAAUUUAAAGUAAAAAGAGCUGAUAACAGGGUUUCUUGUAUCCUUUGAUGCCAUCCUCCAUGUCCCCCUUUUCUGUUUAUAGUUAAAGAGGAAAGCAGUGUUUUUAAGUUAUGUUGAGAGCGUUCAACAAUGGCUUGGCCGCGAGGAUUGUAAGGAAUACCAGUAAGGAGAAUUUUUCUACUGUGAUCCCAAUUUUAUCUAACAGUACGUAAAAUAUUUGUGAACUAAAUUUACUUUUAGACCAAUUUACCUAUUUUUGCAUAAAAUCACAGGCAGAAUAACCAAACAGCAAUUUUUGCUGGCUUUGCUAAAAUACUCCACAUAGGAUCAGAGUGAACUCUUAAAAUCCAGUCCAUACAGGCUUUAAAAACAAAGUUGGUCUCACCAGACUCCACCAGAGUUUUUUCUUUUUUCAGGUUGUCCACUCCUGUCAAUGGAGGCAAGCUUUUUUUUAUUAUUUUUGGAGGUCUCUGAAACCCUACAAACAAAGCAGUAGUUUUUCCACUUAUUGGUUCAGCUCUAGGUCAACUCCCUGGAAGAAUUUUACUCAAAGCUACACAAAAUGUAAA